GGUUUAAUGGCCCUUGAAAAAGUGCGUCCCUGCAGGGAGGGUUGUGACGGGCUGGAUUUCUGGGAGUAACACAGACUGAAUAAGGCUGCCCUUGGCUCAAUGUCCACCCUUGGCAAAAACCAACAGAGGAAAGCGAUCUGCCCUCCAUUAGGGUGAUGUGGAAAUCCUUGAGUGGAGAAGAAGGAGCUGUGGAAAGUGGGCGGUACCCUGGAAUUGCGGUGGGUGUCCUGGAAUUGUGGUGGGUGUCCUGGAAUCAGACUGAAUAAGGCUGCCCUUGGCUCAAUGUCCACCCUUGGCAAAAGCCAACAGAGGAAAGCAAUCUGCCCUCCAUUUGGGUGAUGUGGAAAUCCGUGUGUGGAGAAGAAGGAGCUGCGGAAAGUGGGCGGUACCCUGGAAUUGCGAGAUUGAGACCAGGAGAAACCAUGCAUGAGUGUUUGGGACUGUGCAGAAGAUUUCUCAUGACUUAGAACAUGCUGGAGUCAGAGGAAGCCUCAGCCCCUUGUCCUGUCUGAUGUCAUUGUCUUAAAGAAGAAAAAGAAAAAUCAAGCCCAAAGCCAUGUAGGCAGCAUAGGGCAAAGUUGUAAAAAAAAUGAAGAGGAAAGAGAAGAUGAAG
rnacentral:lncRNA from 10 species